AGCCUGGCACCAGGGAAGUGGAACUUCAUCACAGGAAUGGUGGAAUGUCUAUGGACACAUGAGCAUUCACCCUGGUAUCCCACUUAGGUGGAUGGAAUAUAAGGUAUUAUCACAGUUGUAGGAGGGGCCGGCAUUGUGCAAAGGAAUGGGGCACAAGACAUGCAGAUAGAGUUGCUCACUUGAGAACACGCCAAGUGUACUCUGGCAUGCAUCCUAGCUUUAAUCUGGACAGGUCUCCUCAGCAGUGCCAUCUUUUUGCUUUGUUUUUUAAGACGAGAUAGAUUCCCUCCAACCCACUGUUAGUGAUUAUUAUUCCCAUAAAGUAUUUUCCUGUGUCUUGCUGGCAGCGUUCUUAUUAACCUCUUUGUGACAUGCGUGCAGUAGCAGGUUUUGUUAGUACAAAACAGCAAGAACGAGUUGCCCUUUUUCUCCCACGUAGUUGGGUUGGCUUAUAUUUACACUUAGACCAUGGCACUUGCCAGGAGCUUAGUUCAGGGUUGAGUGUGGCCAAAAGGGGAAGCAAAGUGUGCUGAUGCUCUCUCUGCCUUUCUCCUGUAGGACCUCACCAUCCCUGAGUCUAGCACUGUAAAGGGGAUGAUGGCUGGACCGAUGGCUGCAUUUAAAUGGCAGCCAACAGCGACCGAGGUAAAGAACUUUCCUGCUCGUAGGACUGUCCACAAUGUCAGAACAAGAGCAUAGCAGAUUUUCUGGCUAUGCUGUGUGAGCCUCUUUCCCUUUUCUCCCUUUUCUGGUUUUUGGUUUUGUUUUAUUGGAACAAACUACGGAAGUCUGGAGGUUAAAAAAAACUCCAUGUUUAGGUCUGAGGUUCCAGGUAGUCUGCCUGUUUAGCAUCAUAUGUGGGAUUAUAGACCCGCUAUCAUUCUCACUGUUUAGGGUAGGAUUGCUUUUGUGUUGACUGUAAACACCUUGUCUUCCAUAAAUGCUCUGUUGUUCCCCCCACCCCACCCCAAGGGGGAGGUGAUUUUUUUUUUUUUCCCCCCUGGGGAGGGUUUAAAAAAGAGGUUAUUUUGUCUUGUGACAGGGUAAUCCAUGCUGGCCUCAAACUGAAGAUCCUUCUGCCUCAGAUACCCAAGUGCUGGGAUUGCAGACAUGUAGCUACCAGUGCAGAUGUUGAGUAGCUUGGGGAUUGGAGGAGACAUCAUACUAGCUUCACUGUGCCUGCACCUGGUGCUAGGCAGAGUUAUGAACAGCUGUGGAGAUCUAUAGUCAUAGUGACUAUAAUCAGAAUUGGCCCCAGAAAGCCAAGACCUACAAGGGUUUGGCCUCACACCCAAGGAGAUCAGUACUCUGAAGGUAGAAGAGUCCUAGAAUUGCUGUGGUUUAUAUUGCCAGGCCAACUAUAUGCCUGGUGAAUGCUUAGUACUAAAAUGCAGGAGAGCUUUGUGAUAUUAGUCCACACAGUUACUAGAGUGAUUGAUCUCAACCUGCAGAAACAUCUGUCUUUUUGUACUUGAGCCUAUUUUUCCCUUAGCUAGUAUGGCAGUGGUUUAUGAAAGACCAGAACUAAGCUGGUGACAUAGGCGUGUAGUCCUAGCAAAGGAGCACCUCCUUCUAGUAGGAGGGUCACAGGGUAAUAGCCUGCCUGGUGACCAAGUAAGUUGAAGGCCAGCUGUGUAACUUAGAUAUUAUCUCAGAAUAAAAUGUAAAAAAAGACAAAGUUCAAAAAGCAAAGGUGGGGGCUGGAGAGAUGGCUCAGUGGUUUAGAGCACCAACUGCUCUUCCAGAGGUCCUGAGUUCAAUUCCCAGCAACCAUGUGGUGGCUCACAACCAUCUGUAAUGGGAUCCAAUGCACUUUUCUGGUGUCUGAAAGAAGCAAAGGUGGGCGGCUCUCUUUGUGCUCAAGGCCAACCAGACCUAUAAAGUGAAAGCGUCUCUUUUUAAAAAACUGGAAAGAAGGCUUGGAGGAGGAGCUCAGUGGUAGAACACUUACCUACCAUGGGCAAGGCCCUAAAUUCUGUCCCUAGUUCCAGAAAUUGAAAAAAUAAGAAAAAAAGACGAAGGAAGAGGCAGGCAGAGAUCUGAGUUUGAGGCCAGCCUGUUCUACAGAGUGAAGUUUUAGGACUGCCAGAACUACACAAAAACCCUGUUUCAGG
rnacentral:lncRNA from 1 species